GCUGCGGUGCCUCCCUGUGCUGAGUCUGUGCGCCGCUCGUAAACAGCAAUUCAGCGCUUCGCAGCAAAGCGUGGAAAUGAUACUGACGCGAUUAAUGUUUCCAAUACAUUUUUAUUAUAUUGAAUUUCUGCUGUUUUAUGCACUGGAUAUGCUUCAUAGAGAGGCUGAUGUUGCAGCUCUCCUGAUGUCACAAACACGUAAUCACGAACCCAUGUCACAGCGGAGGCUAAGCAUAGGGCUAGCCUUAGGAUUCACUGCUUAUGUUCUGUUUCCAUUGAUUGGUUUUGUUCGUAUCAAUCAGCUCACAGAAUAUGAAGUUUUCACAGUCAGCAUGAUUAACACUCUACUUUGAGCACUGACAGGCUGUGAAAACAACCUAGCAAGUUACAGUCAUCAUUUGAGAGCUGAAAAGCUGCUGUGGCAUUGUGUUAGUACCAAAUACUUCAACUGCUGUUUUCUUAAAUACAGAAGGUUAUCCUCUGGGAGUCCUCAAGAAGAUGGCAAUUUGGACACUUCAGCAAUGACACAGCUGAGGGAAGGAGAAGCAACAGGUUAAGCAGCAUCAGCAGAAAGUGGCUGUAAUUGAAGAAGAUAUUUGAAGAAAGAAAGUGCAGACUUUCCACUUUCAUGACCCAUUUCUUUACUCACAGUGAAGGCUUCUUUCUCCUCAUUUUGAUAUUAGCUUUGUUUGGGAAGUAUUGAGCUUUAUCUUUCCUUAUGGAUAACAACAUUUAAAUAUGUUUAUUAUUUACUCACUUCUUUCUACUAAAUACUGUGAUUCUUCUUAUUUUUUCCUUUCAUUACUUUUUGGUAGUAUAAACUGUUCCAUCUCUUGUUUGAUUCUGUGGGGAACGCUCCCACACACCUCUGCUGUAUUUUUAUAGAUUUUUUGUCAGUGCUGUUAAAUUGCAUCAGAGUAGAGAAGGAAGGCUGUGGGACCAACUGAUAGUCUCCCUCCUAAAUUUCAUUACAGAGGGUUAGAAUCAAAAUUUACUGAAGUUGUGGAGAAUUUUUGUAUUGACUUUGGAUCGAGUUAUACAUUUUUAUUAAAAAAAAAACAAACAAACAGCUCCACUGAUUCUCUAUCUCCCAAGCAGUGUGUGCUGUGCAAUCUAUGAAUAAUUCCAGUCAUGACUUCUUUCUCUCAUAUUAAGGUACCGUUUCUGAUGUCAGCAUUGACGGGGUAAUAAUAUCAGCUGAAUGAAUGAUAAGAAUUCAGAGCCAUUGCAGUAGCCUGAACAUUAAUAACUAUAAUGUCUAAAGAGGAGCUCUAAUACGUUUAAAAUAAGAAGUGGAAGUGGAAGUAAUAUUUUUCAUUUCAGUAAAACAAAUGUAUGGGAUGACUGGAGCACACAGUUCCAAUGCUUCAUAAGAUGCAAUUAAGCAAUAAUUUGAUUAUUUGAGUUCUGUUUGUUUUGACCUUUCAGACAUGUAGGAAAGGUUUUUACCAGUCAAAGCAGAGAAUUCAUUAAAAGCAGAGACUUUAAGCACAGAGAAUUUCAGGCAGGGGAGAGCUGCUUUGCAGACAUGUAUCUGGGCAGAGCAUUUUCCUGCAGCACACUUCUGAAGACAAAUGAGUCGGCAUCCUAGUUGCUUUGUUGUCCAGAAAGGAAAAAGUGAGAACACAAAUCAAGAUUCCUUGAUUCUGGGCUAGCGCGUGCUAGCUUUGUGCUUAGCCACUGCAGUUACUUGAAAAAUAAAAUCAUGAACUUCCUUAAUUCCCAUUAGUUUUCUGACAGGUCAACAAAUCAUGCACAAAACGAUUAGUUUGAUGACUAAUUAGAGAAACUAAUGCCUGAACAUAAAUCUGCAAAAGCUCUUGCAAGUCCCUAGUUCUCCAGAAAGACCAUCUCAAUUAAAUUAUCCAUUCAAAGCACCUUUAUAAGGUUUGUUUUCUUAGAAUGUUGCAAGGAA